UAAUUUUUUAAGGACUUAUUAGGUCAAGUGAGUGUCGUUUUCGGGCCGAGACCUUUCGCCGGGAGCAUCUGAGAUUCCAAAAAAACGGCCCGAGUUGGAUUUUCGGCUUGAAAACUGUCCCAAUCGACCAAAAUCUUGCGCCCCGGGAAGGCCAAAGGACCUCAGGCGUGAGUGGAAGGUCGGCCAGGCUGGGCCAGACAAGGCCAGGCGUCCUUUUUUCUGAGAAUCGUCGCCAUUUGAACAAUUGAGCCGUCUUGUGGUGCGGUAAUGUUUAUGCUUUUUACAGGAAAUCGGUGCCGAGGACGGCCUGAGAGGCUUUUAGCAUUCCGGAAGUUUCUGCGGACGCACAGAUUGAAUGCCCUUGUGGAGAAAAGGGUCAUUGCUUCUAUCACUUGGAGAGAGUUGACCUCUGUGUCGGGUCCUUCCAGGGCCACGCAGCCUUUUACAUUCAGGGCUGAGACCUUUUUGUGCCCACCCUGGCCUUCGAAGAGGACAAUUCGAACAGCAAAGUCAGUGGUGCCGAGGCCAGUCCGCAAAGAAUCUAAAAUCAAAGGGACCGUUUUCAUUAAUUUGAUCAUCAUCGGGGGUCACCCUGGUCAAGACCAGCCAGCGCAGACCUUCCAUAAGGAAGAUGGAAAGUCCAAUUCAACUCACAAAACAUCGUGAUUCCUCAAUCUUGGUUGAGGCUCGGAUUUUAUCAUCACAAAGGUUUGACGUACGUUUUGACUGGUGGCAUUUUUUGUCUGCAAAGUGGCUGUCCUGGUUGCAUCGGCACGACCCGGUUUCGGCCUCAUUCGCCGCCGCGCUGCACGUCGAGUCGGCGCCAAACGUGAACUGGCACUGCACCUCGGCCCAGCACGCGUCGCCGAUUUUCGUCGCCACUGCAAAAUACAAA